CGUUGCGUCGGCGAUCCGCUCGCAUCUCAUGUUGCAAAUCACGUCGUACAUUGUUUAUUCCUUGCAGGAUUUCCUGAACCUGCGGCGGCGACAUCAUAGGUGCCGGCGGUGGUGGCUGGUACUGCUGUGUCUGCGAUGGCUGCUGGUAGCCCUGCGGUGGGAAACCAAAAGCUGAUGGUCCCGUAGCCCAGGGACCUCCAAAUGUACUCUCCUGGUUGAGAGGGUUGUAGCCUAAGGCUAACCAAUAGGGAUCUCCCGUAUAAUCAUAACCGGGAGGGAAAGUCGGCUCAAACGGGUUGGACUGCGCUGCGCUGGCGUAAGCCGGAAUCGGCGCAGAAGUGACCUCCGAAACAGGAUGCGGAGACUCCCCCAUCUCAGACUCCUCAUGAAGAGGUGAGUAGUGGCUGCUACCAAUGUGCGGAGGGGUACCAAUGCGAAUCCCUCCUCGCGUACACAUACGCGCAUUCCUCCGUGGCCUCUGAGGCGGAGGUGGCAAAACUGGCGGUGGCGGUGGCGGUGGCGGUGGCGACGGAGUAAUCACGUCGCGCCAGAGGGCCUCAGAUAGGUCCUGCUGCAAGGGCGGCUGCUGAAGCUGCUGCUGCUGAGAGUGGUGCUGCGAGUGUACCGGCGAACCAUGGCGAGACUGGAGCAUCGGAGAGUUGUGGCGGCUGGGGGUGUAAUACCAAUCGUGCUGCCGAAACCUCUCCUGAAAGCUAUCAACACCAUUGUAGGGUGAUCCCCUAAAUGGUGACGCAUCCGAUAUCUCGAUAGGAUGGUUGGGCGUACCUGACGGUGGCAGUGAAGGGUCCGUGUCCUCGUCAACUUCCAUCUCGUGACCACCAGAGAAGUGGUCUUCAGGUCCUAGUGGGUUAUGACCACUGGCUCAUCCAAGAAAGCGUCAGGGUUGUAUAGGCCCUGAUAAGCUGGUGCUGGGUAGUGGUGAGGUGACUGAUGAAGAGGUAUAUAAGAUCCAUGGGGCCCAUUUUCAGAGUGGGGCCCAAAUGAUUGGGGUAGUGAUGGCGAAGUGCUCGCAGAUACCGAGUGCCUGGCUGGCUUGGCAAAUGAUCUCCAGAGAUCGUUGGCUGCGAUGUUGUGCGAAGCUGAUGGAGCUCGCCUGUGUGAGGGUCCUGCCUCAUGAUCGUGUGAUGUGGCGAAUCCUCCUCGUCCUCGCAUACGUGGCGGC
rnacentral:lncRNA from 1 species